rnacentral:misc_RNA from 1 species
GGGCUUGCAAUUCAAUUAAGGACCUUCUUUUUUUUUUUUUUUAAUUCCAUCCACAACCAAUAACAGUGUGUUUGGACCGACUGAGGGAGGGUUUUAUAAAGUAAGGUAAAGAAAUAGAAGGUAAGGUAGCAAAACCUUCCAACCCAAAAAAAGUGAGGGUUUCGGAGGUUUUAAAACCUUCGAAAAACCUUACCUCCAUUAAAAAACCUUCCUC